GACGGAGGAGGCUAGCGUUGUUCGGAAUUACUGGGCGUAAAGCGCGCGCAGGCGGUCUUGCAAGUCAGGGGUGAAAGCCCGGGGCUCAACCUCGGAACUGCCUUUGAGACUGUGAGACUCGAGACCGAGAGAGGAGAGUGGAAUUCCCAGUGUAGAGGUGAAAUUCGUAGAUAUUGGGAAGAACACCAGUGGCGAAGGCGGCUCUCUGGCUCGGUACUGACGCUGAGGCGCGAAAGCGUGGGGAGCAAACAGGG
rnacentral:rRNA from 1 species